rnacentral:rRNA from 1 species
AAUGAACGCUGGCGGCAUGCCUAACACAUGCAAGUCGAACGAAGGCUUCGGCCUUAGUGGCGCACGGGUGCGUAACGCGUGGGAAUCUGCCCUUGGGUUCGGAAUAACAGUGGGAAACUACUGCUAAUACCGGAUGAUGACGUAAGUCCAAAGAUUUAUCGCCCAGGGAUGAGCCCGCGUAGGAUUAGCUAGUUGGUGAGGUAAAGGCUCACCAAGGCGACGAUCCUUAGCUGGUCUGAGAGGAUGAUCAGCCACACUGGGACUGAGACACGGCCCAGACUCUACGGGAGCAGCAGUGGGAAUAUUGGACAUGGGCGAAAGCCUGAUCCAGCAAUGCCGCGUGAGUGAUGAAGG